rnacentral:rRNA from 1 species
UACGGGGGGGGGCAAGCGUUGUUCGGAAUUACUGGGCGUAAAGGGCGCGUAGGCGGUUCGCUAAGUUGGAUGUGAAAACUCUGGGCUUAACCCAGAGCCUGCAUCCAAAACUGGCGAACUUGAGUACUGGAGGGGAAAGCGGAAUUCCUGGUGUAGCGGUGAAAUGCGUAGAUAUCAGGAGGAACACCGGUGGCGAAGGCGGCUUUCUGGACAGUAACUGACGCUGAGGCGCGAAAGCUAGGGGAGCAAACAGG